CGUGUAGGCGGCUUAUUAAGUCAGAUGUGAAAGCCCAACGGCUUAACCGUGGAACUGCAUUUGAAACUGAUAGGCUUGAGUAUGAGAAGGGGUAGUGGAAUUCCCAGUGUAGCGGUGAAAUGCGUAGAUAUUGGGAAGAACACCAGUAGCGAAGGCGACUACCUGGCUCAUUACUGACGCUAAUGCGCGAAAGCGCGGGGAGCAAACA
rnacentral:rRNA from 1 species